rnacentral:rRNA from 1 species
AUUGAACGCUGGCGGCAUGCUUUACACAUGCAAGUCGAACGGUAACAGGCCUUCGGGUGCUGACGAGUGGCGAACGGGUGAGUAAUGCAUCGGAACGUACCCAGAGGUGGGGGAUAACGCAGCGAAAGCUGUGCUAAUACCGCAUGUGAUCUGAGGAUGAAAGCGGGGGACCGAGCAGCAAUGUUUGGCCUCGCGCCUUUGGAGCGGCCGAUGUCGGAUUAGCUAGUUGGUGGGGUAAAGGCCUACCAAGGCGACGAUCCGUAGCUGGUCUGAGAGGACGACCAGCCACACUGGUACUGAGACACGGCCCAGACUCCUACGGGAGGCAGCAGUGGGGAAUUUUGGACAAUGGGCGCAAGCCUGAUCCAGCAAUGCCGCGUGCGGGAAGAAGGCCUUCGGGUUGUAAACCGCUUUUGGCAGGAACGAAACGGUGUCCGCUAAUACCGGGCGCUAAUGACGGUACCUGCAGAAUAAGCACCGGCUAACUACGUG